rnacentral:misc_RNA from 1 species
UUUUAAUUAAAAACUAGAAUGAAAGGUUAUACAUUCAAAUUUCUUUAUUAAUUUUUAAUAAAUAAUUUAUAUUAAAUAUAAAAAUAUAUUUAUAAAAAAAAAAGACGACAAGACCCUAUUAAAUUUUACUUAUAGUUUAGCUGGGGAAGCUUUUCAAUUAAAAUUUUUUAAAUUAAAUAAAUAAAAAUCUAAUAAAAUUAAAAUUUUAAUAAAUUACUAUAGGGAUAACAGCAUUAUAUUUUUUAAAAGUUCAUAUUAAAAAAAAUGAUUGUGACCUCGAUGUUGAAUUAUAUUUUCUAUAUUAAAUGCAAUAAUUAUAAAAGUAGAUCUGUUCGAUCUUUAAAAUAUUACAUGAUUUGAGUUCAAACCGGUGUAAACCAGGUUGGUUUCUAUCUUUUUAUAUAUUUUUCCAGUACGAAAGGACAAAAAAAUUUUUAUUUUAAUAAAUUAGCAAAUAAAUGCAUUAGAUUUAGAAUCUAAAUAUAUUUAAUAAUU